rnacentral:misc_RNA from 1 species
GAUGAAGAACGUAGCGAAAUGCGAUAAGUAAUGUGAAUUGCAGAAUUCCGUGAAUCAUCGAAUCUUUGAACGCACAUUGCGCCCGCCAGUAUUCUGGCGGGCAUGCCUGUUCGAGCGUCAUUUCAACCCUCAAGCCCCCGGGCUUGGUGUUGGGGAUCGGCCGCCCUCCGGCGCGCCGGCCCCGAAAUCUAGUGGCGGUCUCGCUGUAGCCUCCUCUGCGUAGUAGCACACCUCGCACCGGAACGCAGCCUGGCCACGCCGUUAAACCCCCCACUUCUGAAGGUUGACCUCGGAUCAGGUAGGAAUACCCGCUGAACUUAAGCAUAUCAAUAAGCGGAGGA